rnacentral:rRNA from 1 species
GGGACUGAGAUACGGCCCAGACUCCUACGGGAGGCAGCAGUGGGGAAUAUUGGGCAAUGGGCGCAAGCCUGACCCAGCAACGCCGCGUGAAGGAAGAAGGCUUUCGGGUUGUAAACUUCUUUUGUCGGGGACGCGGUACCUGACUAAGAAGCCCCGGCUAACUACGUGCCAGCAGCCGCGGUAAUACGUAGGGGGCAAGCGUUAUCCGGAUUUACUGGGUGUAAAGGGAGCGUAGACGGUUUUGCAAGUCUGGAGUGAAAGGCGGGGGCCCAACCCCCGGACUGCUCUGGAAACUGUAUGUCUGGAGUGCAGGAGAGGUAAGUGGAAUUCCUAGUGUAGCGGUGAAAUGCGUAGAUAUUAGGAGGAACACCAGUGGCGAAGGCGGCUUACUGGACUGUAACUGACGUUGAGGCUCGAAAGCGUGGGGAGCAAACAGGAUUAGAUACCUUGGUAGUCCACGCCGUAAACGAUGAUCACUAGGUGUCGGGCGGUGCCGCAGCCAACGCAAUAAGUGAUCCACCUGGGGAGCACGUUCGCAAGAAUGCAACUUAAAUGAAUUGACGGA